UUUUACUCUCCCCAUUGAAGUGAAUGGAGAAAAUCUGGUCAGGAAAAAUAAAAUAAAUUGACAUACUGUGGAUUUUAAAAUCCGCAUGGUAGGUCAAAAUCUGCGCGGGAAAAAAUCUGCAUCUUGUGCAUGAAAAUUUCAGAUUCUCAUAGAAUACAAUAUACAUGACCUACGGUGCGAAUUUUCCGCGGGCAAAUCCGCCCGCAAUCCUGAUCAUGUGCAUUUACCCUAAGAGGGUGAAAUCCGAA